GCCAGGGCGAGCCCGGGCCGGGCCGGGCCUGGCAGCCCGGAGCGGGGGCUGCGGUGCGAGCCCGCGGUGGGUCCAGCGCCCCCGAGUGACCCGUUUCGCUCAGCGACCAAGGCCAGCUCGCCCUGUGCCCGUGGCCGAGCGCGCCCGGCACCUGUCCCGGCUGCGUGCGCUGAAGUUUCCGUGCAGUUGUCUCCCACACCCCCAGGCUCACCCACCCCCCGCACCCCGCCUCGGCCGCGGGGAUGGGCGAGCAGCCGGCGAGCCCCUGGAGCUGGCUGCAGCAGACGAAGCACAGCUUGACCCACCCAUGUCACGGGGAAGAAGUGGAACAUUGCUUUUAGAAUGUCCUUUUCCUGACUAGUUCCAAGAUCAUAGGAGGCAAUCAGCUUACAUCACGUCCCACUGAACAGCUGCCCUUUCUGUGUUUGCAUUCCAGUAUGCAGCUAUAGGUUGUCAGAGUCUUUACAGAAAGCAGGGACGCUCAGUAAACCAAGGAUCACAAAGCUCCUGAUUCAUGCACCCAUAACUGAGCAAUCACAGUAAUUUACAGCAGAAAACCGUACAGAAAUGUGCUUCCCAUGGAUGCUGCAGCUGUGCCAAGCCCUGAGGAUUAUACAGAGCAACUAUAAGAGCUAUGAUUAUUUGAAAAUGCUCUUUUUAAGGUCCUGUGUCAAUGCCUCGACUUUUAUGUGCAACCUAAGAGAAAGCAGAUUCUCAGAUCAGAGACAGAACUUCACCCUCAAAUGUAUCAUGACGCUUACUUCUUGCUCGCCUCUUGCUCCUAACAAUACAGUGCCAUAUACUUUUCCUGUCUUUCUCCUUACUUCGUUCUAGAAAAAGAAGCAUCUAUCAUAUCCUCUAGAACAAGAUGACAAGGCCCCAUGUUAGAAGCAUGGAUUCUGAUGGGGUUAACUAUUAGCAAAUCUGAAGCCUUAUUCUUUUCUCCUUCUCCCUAGACCACUAAAUAAGUAUUUGCUUAUUUGCACUUACCAAAAUAUUUUGUAAUGUAAGAAAUCUGUAUUUGCUUUCUGUUAAAAAACUUAUUUCCAGUUUGAAUUGCCUUGUAAUGCCUAGUUUAGAAGAGAGAAUUUGAAUCUUGCCAGUUUCUUCCCAUGCUUCUGACAAAAAUACUUGAAUACCACAGCUAGAUAUAAUGAACUGAACUAUUUUUAAAGAUCAAAUAAUUUCAAUAAAAAUUAGUUCCAUUAUCAAACUGAAGAUGAAACCUGCAAAGCCUAGCUAUAAAAUGCUGGUCUGUUGUGAUGCUGAACAGCUAUUGAAUUAUUGAACAGGCACUAGCAACUAUGAAUUGAAUUAUUAAUUGUACUGCCCACAAUACUGCAGUCAAUCUGGGUAUAUUCUGUAUUGGUUAAUAUUUCACCAUAGACUCUUACCAGAGUAAAAUCUUGAUUCCUACAAUAUUCCAACACUUUUUUCUUUUUUUAAGUAAAUAGCAUGCUUCUGAAUUUUAAGUUAAUCAUGUAUGUUCAGGAUUGAGACCAUGGAAUCCUGGGGAAGCUCCCAAAAACUUAAAUCCAAGUAAAAGAGCAUGCAGAAGGUUACUGUUCAUGAAUGGAGUCUUUUCAGAAUUGAAAUAUGCUCGAUACUUCAAGGAACACUAAUACUUCAUACAGAAGAAAAAAAUCCAAGUUCUUGGUCUGGAUCAAGAUGGUUCUAAAAACAGGAAGUGCAAUUAAUUCUUAACCCAGUGGUAAUGUGCAGGAAUCCCAAGGGCAUUGGUACCGAGUUUCUUUUACAAGAAUACUGAUAGCAGAGUUAGUCCAAAAGUGAAGAUCCUUAAAUAAAGUUAACAUAAAUGUUUCUGCAAUUCCUUUAAUAUACUAAUUAAGCUUGUUUUGGUUUUAGUUUGGUUUUGUUUUUUGUUUUGGAGUUUUUUGUUGUGGGGGCUUUUUGGGGUUUGUUUUGUUUGCUUUUGCAAAAGUUCUAAGAUUUGCUUUGUGCUCUUUUCUAUGCAUAUUACAAUUAAAAGAUAUAGACAAUUUUUUAUUUAU